rnacentral:misc_RNA from 1 species
CAGAGUUGCAAGACUCCCUAAACCAUUGUGAACCUACCUUCUACCGUUGCUUCGGCGGGCGGGCCCAGCCGCCCCCCCGGCCCCCCGCGGGCGCCCGCCGGAGGAUACCCAAACUCUUGACAUUAGUGGCCUCUCUGAGUAUUCUUUACUGAAUAAGUCA